rnacentral:rRNA from 1 species
CAGUCGCCGCGGUAAUACGUAGGUGGCAAGCGUUGUCCGGAAUUAUUGGGCGUAAAGGGCUCGCAGGCGGUUUCUUAAGUCUGAUGUGAAAGCCCCCGGCUCAACCGGGGAGGGUCAUUGGAAACUGGGAAACUUGAGUGCAGAAGAGGAGAGUGGAAUUCCACGUGUAGCGGUGAAAUGCGUAGAGAUGUGGAGGAACAUCAGUGGCGAAGGCGACUCUCUGGUCUGUAACUGACGCUGAGGAGCGAAAGCGUGGGGAGCGAACAGGAUUAGAUACCCCCGUAGUCCCUGUCUCUUAUAC